rnacentral:rRNA from 1 species
UACGUAGGGGGCAAGCGUUGUCCGGAAUCAUUGGGCGUAAAGCGCGCGUAGGCGGCCCGGUAAGUCCGUUGUGAAAGUCAAAGGCUCAACCUUUGAACGCCGAUGGAUACUGCCGGGCUAGAAUCCGGAAGAGGCGAGUGGAAUUCCUGGUGUAGCGGUGGAAUGCGCAGAUAUCAGGAGGAACACCAAUAGCGAAGGCAGCUCGCUGGGACGGUACUGACGCUGAGGCGCGAAAGCGUGGGGAGCGAACAGG